ensembl:snoRNA
AACCCUUGGCAGUGACAAAGAAACACCUUGUUGGUGAUGGUAUUCUUAUAUGUCAGGGGCAAAAGAGAUGGCAGGCCUUUGUUCAUUCUAACUUGAUGCCUGAGUUGGUGACCAAAGAUCUUUUAUGCCUAGGAUUCAUAA